UACGAAUUGUGCAAACGUUAUUCGGAAUCACUGGGCUUAAAGGGUGCGUAGGCUGCCAUGAAGGUCUGGUGUGAAAUCCAACGGCUCAACCGUUGAAUUGCACUGGAAACCACAUGGCUGGAGUAGGACAGAGGUGAGCGGAACUGAUGGUGGAGCGGUGAAAUGCGUUGAUAUCAUCAGGAACACCGGUGGCGAAAGCGGCUCACUGGGUCCUAACUGACGCUGAGGCACGAAAGCCAGGGGAGCAAACGGG
rnacentral:rRNA from 1 species